UCGGGCGACCGCUGUACCUUCUCUCGGGAAGGCAUAGAGGAAAGUCUGGACAUCACAAGGCAGCGUGUCCCGUGAAAGCGGGAGACGGAAGGUCCAAAGACCUUCCGGACGGAAAGUGCCACAGAAAAUAAACCGCCCGGGUUCGCCCGGGUAAGGGUGAAAAGGCGAGGUAAGAGCUCACCGCUCCAAGGGUGACCGAGGAGGCAUGGUAAACCCCGCGCGAUGCAAGACAAACAGGGGAAGAGUAGCCUGCUCGCUGAAUCUCCGGGUAUUAGUCGCAUUCGCCCCCUGAAAAGGGCGGGCGCCGGAAACUUCGGUUUCCGGUGAGAAAAAUGGUCGCACAGCGCCUGCAAAGACGUGGACAGAAUCUGGCUUACAGA
rnacentral:RNase_P_RNA from 1 species